GUGCAACCUAGUUCCUACAAUGAAUAUGCUACAGCCAACAUACACCUUAGGAUUCUGAAUGGCUAGGAGAUCGAGUUAUAGUAUAGUCAAACUAUAACACACUCAAGGUGAACUGUCGAUGCACCUCAGGUCAAAGAACUAGACACACAACUGCAGCAUCGAGCUAGUCAUCGACGAGAAGGUAGACUUCCUUAUGACUGCUCGA
rnacentral:lncRNA from 1 species